AUUCCAGACUCCUACGGGAGGCAGCAGUGAGGAAUAUUGGUCAAUGGGCGCGAGCCUGAACCAGCCAAGUCGCGUGAGGGAUGACGGCCCUACGGGUUGUAAACCUCUUUUGUCAGGGAGCAAAGGGCGCCACGUGUGGCGUUUUGCGAGUACCUGAAGAAAAAGCAUCGGCUAACUCCGUGCCAGCAGCCGCGGUAAUACGGAGGAUGCGAGCGUUAUCCGGAUUUAUUGGGUUUAAAGGGUGCGUAGGCGGAAUGCCAAGUCAGCGGUAAAAUCGCGGGGCUCAACCUCGCUCCGCCGUUGAAACUGGCGUUCUUGAGUGGGCGAGAAGUAUGCGGAAUGCGUGGUGUGGCGGUGAAAUGCAUAGAUAUCACGCAGAACUCCGAUUGCGAAGGCAGCAUACCGGCGCGCAACUGACGCUCAUGCACGAAAGCGUGGGUAUCGAACAGGAUUAGAUACCCGAGUACC
rnacentral:rRNA from 1 species